CCUACGGGGGGCUGCAGUGAGGAAUAUUGGUCAAUGGGCGCGAGCCUGAACCAGCCAAGUAGCGUGAAGGAUGACUGCCCUACGGGUUGUAAACUUCGUUUAUAAAGGAAUAAAGUGAGGCACGUGUGCCUUUUUGUAUGUACGUUAUGAAUAAGGAUAGGCUAACUCCGUGCCAGCAGCCGCGGUAAUACGGAGGAUCCGAGCGUUAUCCGGAUUUAUUGGGUUUCAAGGGAGCGUAGAUGGGUUGUUAAGGCAGUUGUGACAGUUUGCGGCUCAACCGUAAAAUUGCAAUUGAUACUGUCAGUCUUGAUUACAGUUGAGUUAGGCGGCAUUCGUGGUGUAGCGGU
rnacentral:rRNA from 1 species